rnacentral:rRNA from 1 species
GAUGAACGCUGGCGGCGUGCCUAACACAUGCAAGUCGAGCGGGGAGGAGGAAGCUUGCUUCCGAAUCCUAGCGGCGGACGGGUGAGUAACGCGUGAGCAACCUGCCUCUUACAGGGGGAUAACGCAUCGAAAGAUGUGCUAAUACCGCGUAAGACCACGGUACCGCAUGGUACAGGGGUCAAAGGAGCAAUCCGGUAAGAGAUGGGCUCGCGUCCGAUUAGCUAGUUGGUGAGAUAAAAGCCCACCAAGGCGACGAUCGGUAGCCGACCUGAGAGGGUGAUCGGCCACAUUGGAACUGAGAUACGGUCCAGACUCCUACGGAGGCAGCAGUGGGGAAUAUUGGGCAAUGGGGGAAACCCUGACCCAGCAACGCCGCGUGAAGGAAGAAAGGG